rnacentral:rRNA from 1 species
GUGAGGAAUAUUGGUCAAUGGGCGCAAGCCUGAACCAGCCAUGCCGCGUGCAGGAAGACGGUCCUAUGGAUUGUAAACUGCUUUUAUUUGGGAAUAAACUCCGGUACGUGUACCGACCUGAAGGUACCAAAUGAAUAAGCACCGGCUAACUCCGUGCCAGCAGCCGCGGUAAUACGGAGGGUGCAAGCGUUAUCCGGAAUCAUUGGGUUUAAAGGGUCCGCAGGCGGUCUUAUAAGUCAGUGGUGAAAGCCUACAGCUCAACUGUAGAACUGCCAUUGAUACUGUAGGACUUGAAUUCGAUCGAAGUGGGCGGAAUGUGACAUGUAGCGGUGAAAUGCUUAGAUAUGUCACAGAACACCGAUAGCGAAGGCAGCUCACUAGGUCUGGAUUGACGCUCAGGGACGAAAGCGUGGGGAGCAAACAGGAUUAGAAACCCGAGUAGUCC